rnacentral:ncRNA from 1 species
UUCUUCAGGGCAGGGUGAAAUUCCCGACCGGCGGUAAAGUCCGCGAGCGCAGUUAUGCGCAUGAUCCGGUGCAACUCCGGAACCGACAGUACAGUCUGGAUGGUAGAAGAA